GAUGAAGAACGCAGCGAAAUGCGAUAAGUAGUGUGAAUUGCAGAAUUCAGUGAAUCAUCGAAUCUUUGAACGCACAUUGCGCCCGCUGGUAUUCCGGCGGGCAUGCCUGUUCGAGCGUCAUUUCAACCCUCAAGCUCUCCGGAGUUUGGUGUUGGGGCGCCUGGGGCUUUUCGACCUCAGGGCCCUCAAGUCCAUCGGCGGGACCGCCAGGACACUGAGCGCAGUAGUAUUAUUUCGCUCGGUAGGAUCUUCCACGGCGGGUCGAUCUGGCCGCUAAACCCCCCAAUUCUCACCAAAGGUUGACCUCGGAUCAGGUAGGAAUACCCGCUGAACUUAAGCAUAUCAAUAAGCGGAGGA
rnacentral:misc_RNA from 1 species